CGGGUGGCUCGCCUCAAAUGCAUUAGCUGGACCUGUUUGUGAGGAAUGGUUCUACUCGGCGUAAUAAGUAUUUCGCUGAGGACAUGGCUUCGGCUGUGGCCUUCUUCUCGACGAUCGUCUGCUUUCCAACCCUGUUCUCCUCGGAGACGCAUUUUUUAUGAUCUGGCCUCAAAUCAGGUAGGACUACCCGCUGAACUUAA
rnacentral:misc_RNA from 1 species